rnacentral:misc_RNA from 1 species
GAUGAAGAACGUAGCGAAAUGCGAUAAGUAAUGUGAAUUGCAGAAUUCAGUGAAUCAUCGAAUCUUUGAACGCACAUUGCGCCCGCCAGUAUUCUGGCGGGCAUGCCUGUUCGAGCGUCAUUUCAACCAUCAAGCCCCAGGCUUGUGUUGGGGACCUGCGGCUGCCGCAGCCUCCUAAAAGCAGUGGCGGGCUCGCUAUCACACCGAGUGCAGUAGAUUACUCUUCGCUCAGGGCGUGCAGCGGGUUCCGGCCGUGAAACCCCCUACUUUUAAAGGUUGACCUCGGAUCAGGUAGGAAUACCCGCUGAACUUAAGCAUAUCAAUAAGCGGAGGA